rnacentral:lncRNA from 1 species
UUACACCCCAACUUUGUAGCUGAACACCCCUGUAGAUAUACUCAAAAGCAUAAAAAAUUACAGAAGUGCAAACAUACAAAUGAAAAGAAGAAACAUACUACUAAGAACAGGCUAACAUACAUAAUACUGCAUAGACAUCAGAACAUUGGCCGAGCCAUCAGAACAUUCAUAUACUAACUUAGUUUUUCAACACAACAUUCCAGCAAUCAUUUAACCAUAUUUCUCCACGUCAUUCAACCGGUCACCCAUCAUUUUCUUCAAUUCUUUCAUAGCCUCCAAGUUUGCCUUGGUAAAUUCUUCAUGUUCCGCUCUCCUGGCCUUCUUCUCUCGCUUCUGCCUCUUCUUCUCCAACUUGAUAAACUCUUCGAGUUUAUUACUCAGUUGGUCAUGAUCUUCCCGCAGCUUUUUAGUCUCCUCCUGCAACUUUUCAAUUUUAGCAAGUUUCUUUUCAAAUUUAGCUAAUUUUCAUCUUUGAAUAAGAACAUUAGCACCACAAAUCAAAGCGAUGCAGGAUAAAACUUCCGGAUAAGAGUCGGUAACGGAUGUAAGACGAUUAAUCAAAGCAUCCGUUAUUUCGCUUAAAGACAUUGUAAAAGGGGGAGAGAAGAACAAGGGGAGAGAAGUUGAAGAAAUAACCUUCUUUAGACAAUUUGAUAUCUGAAUUAAUAGGUCUCCAAUCAAAAUUAAUAGCAAAGCACUACCCAUCAUCAUCCCUCUCUGCCGUAGCCCCUGCAGUGUAGCCUCUGGCCUGUGACGGAGGUGACUGAAAGAUAAAUACUAAAGAUCUUGCUAGAUCUUAAUAUUAAUAUCUUGGUAGAUACCCAGAAAGUUUUCGAAAGACGGUCCCCAAUGUCACAAAAAUUAAGAAAAAUGCCCAAAAUACCAAUCUUGAAAAAGAUGGCCCCAAAUACCAUUUAGUGGCGCUAGAUAAUCCGGCGUUUUGAGUUUUGGAAGAAAACGCCGGAUCAUCUUGCGUUUUGGACUGAAAAACGCUAUAAAACGCUACACGAUAUAGCGUUUUAAGGGUAAAACGUCACACGAUCUAGCGUUUUAGGGUCCAAAACGCUAGAUCAUGUAGCAUUUUGGACAAAAAGUGGAAAAACGCUACAUCAUCUAGCGUUUACUGUUUAUUUAUGGUAGGUCGGGGCCGUAUUUUUCAAGACUGGUAUUUGGGGCCAUUUUGUAAGAAAUUGUGAUAGUGAGGGCUAACACCCAAAGUUUUCCCAAAAUUAUUCCCAAAUUCUUGUAAAAUAGGUAAUUUUUCAAAUUAUAAUAUGGGAUCCCGCGUGAUGUGCCCUCGAGGGUUUGUCUCGGCUGUAUUAUUUAUCUGAUCAAUGAAGUGCUUUUAUUUUCUAGCAAAAAAAAAGCUAAUGUCACAUUAUUUUGUAUAAAAUUUGGGAAAUUUUUUGGGGUGCCUAGCAUUACUCCUUAUUAAAAUAAAGUACACUCCGGUAGGGGAUGAGCAUAAAAACCGAAACCAAACCGAAACCGGUUAAAACCGACGAAAACCGAGCCGAAUUAAAACCGAAAAACCGAAAAAUCGAACCAUUACAAGUGGCAUAUUCCUUAUAAUUAGUUACAUGUUUAAAAUCUAAAAUCUAUAGAUAAUUUUUUUUAAAUACAAGUAUUUAAUGUGU